GAUGAACGCUGGCGGCGUGCUUAACACAUGCAAGUCGAACGAAGCACUUUACCACGAUUCCUUCGGGAUGACGGUUUUGUGACUGAGUGGCGGACGGGUGAGUAACGCGUGGGGAACCUGCCCCAUACCGGGGGAUAACAGCCGGAAACGGCUGCUAAUACCGCAUAAGCGCACAGUACCGCAUGGUACGGUGUGAAAAACUCCGGUGGUAUGGGAUGGACCCGCGUCUGAUUAGCCAGUUGGCGGGGUAACGGCCCACCAAAGCGACGAUCAGUAGCCGGCCUGAGAGGGCGACCGGCCACAUUGGGACUGAGACACGGCCCAGACUCCUACGGGAGGCAGCAGUGGGGAAUAUUGCACAAUGGGGGAAACCCUGAUGCAGCGACGCCGCGUGAGUGAGGAAGUAUUUCGGUAUGUAAAGCUCUAUCAGCAGGGAAGAAGAAAUGACGG
rnacentral:rRNA from 1 species